UAAUCCACUUAAUGACAGGCAGACAAAGCAAGAACUGUAACCUGAAGAGCUGCUUAGAAAUUACGUGUCUCUCCUCCCACCUCCAGGGCCUGCUACAUUGGCCUGGAGACCUCAUGUUGCCAGGCUGACCCAGGCCCCAUGUAUCUUAGGUCUUCUGGAAGAUUUUGCUUCCCCAGCAUCUGCUUCUACUUCUUUUAAUCCUAGCACUGUUGUUUUGGCAAACUCCUCAUCCCCCAACUCUCAAUCCAUGGAAUUCAAGCGGGAGCUGAUACUACUUCCUCUUCCCCUCAACAUAUAUAUCUGAGCUCCAAGGGUGCGCACGUUCCUUGGCCUGGCUAAAGCAUGCUACAUUCCUUUGGCUAAGUGACUGGUCUAGGGAUGGUUACCUGUUUCAAAAUGGUUCAGUGAACUUUGGCCUACAGAUCUUGUUGGAACUAUUGAGAAAGAGACUCUCUCUGUGCUAAGCUGGUGAUCAGGGACCACCCUGAGGCGGAUUGCUUCUUGACAAAGAGAAAGAGAACAGAGGAAAGCAAAGAGAUGGAGCAAGACAAUUCUUGACAUCUUUUAAAUACCUGGAUCCAGUCAUAUUUACCAGAUAUGCUUACCGGAUUUUUCUGUUAGGUGAUGAAACUAAUGUUCAGAAGAGUUAGGUAAGUUGUUCAUGGCCAUGCGGCCAAAGAGGACAAGUCUGUAUUCAAAGAGACCUCAUUUGGAAGCCAAGCUUGAUAUGAAACAGAUUUUGACUUACAGUCUUGUGACAGGUGUGGCUGGAGAGAUAUUCAGGCUAAUGAGGGCCUCUCAGCAUGCCUGACUUCGGAACGGGAGGCACAGUCAACAGGACUGUCAUGUGUGGCGUUGACCCUCAGUGCCACCUUGGACCUCGGUAUGCUGACCACCAGCUUCAGUUAGGACCUUUGGUCAGGUUACUUGCCAAACAAGAUCUAAAGGAAUUCUCUACCCAGAACUCUAUAAAAACAAGAAGAAGAAAUAAUUAAGAACACCGUGUAGAACAACACAGCUUUCAUUCCAGUUUAUAUAUUGUAAAAUAAAGCCACACAGAUCCUAAACAUGCUAGGUGCUCUUUAUAUUUGAGAAUCUGGUGUCAAUUACUCAUUAAAAUGUCAAGUUGGCCGGGAUUGGGAGGUGUCUGUUGGGCCCUAUUAGUAUUCUCUCCUUACAUCGUGCCAGUCCUGGGAAUUGUGUUGGUCCAUGUGAAUGUCCUGUGGUGACCUGAGUGCCACACUAACCCAG
rnacentral:lncRNA from 1 species